CUUAUCAAGAGCGGUGGAGGGAACGGCCCGAUGAAACCCGGCAACCUGAUCAUAUCAAGGUGCCAAAUCCGGCGGCAACGAAAGAUGAG
rnacentral:ncRNA from 1 species